GACGAACGCUGGCGGCGUGCCUAAUACAUGCAAGUCGAACGCAGUGGGGACGGGUGAGUAACACGUGUGCAACCUCCCAUCAGAGGGGAUAACACUUGGAAACAGGUGCUAAACCGAUACUGAUGGAUGGACCCGCGGUGCAUUAGCUGGUUGGUGAGGUAACCGCUCACCAGGGCCACGAUGCAUAGACGAACUGAGAGGGUGAUCGGCCACACUGGAACUGAGACAGGGCCCAGACUCCUACGGGAGGCACCAGUAGUGAAUCUGCGGCAGUGGACGAAAGUCUGCCCGAGCACCGGCGAGUGAGUGAAGAAGGUUUUCGGAUCGUAAACCUCGGUUUUUAGAGAAGCGGUAGCUCGCCAGGAAGCCACGGCUAACUACGUGCCAGCAGCCGCGGUAAUAC
rnacentral:rRNA from 1 species